AUGGUCAGGUCGCCGGUGGCCCCAACCCCGACCCCCAGGUCGCCGGUGGCCCCAAACCCGAACUCCAGCUCGCCGGUAGCCCCAACCCCGACACCCAAGUCGCAGGCUGCCCCAACCCCGACUCCCAGCUCGCGUGCUGCAGAUCUUGAGGAGCACAAGGUUACUAAUGAGCUCUUGUGUGCCAUAAAAAUUGAGAAGGCUAAUGACCCGGAUCUUGAAGAGCACAAGGGUGCUGGUAAGCUCCUUACGGAACCACCAAAGUUCAAGAAAAGGAAGCGAAGUAGGCAGAGUAGCGGCAAGCUUCAUGGGGAACACCAAGAAAUGAACGAAGUCGUCAUGAAGCCGUCGACGUCCAAGAAAAAGAGGAAGGCAAGUGAAGGAAUGUGCACUAAUCCACCGGCACCAUUGUUUGGACCUUUGGCCGUUGACAUGGAUAAGCAGCCACCACCAUUGAAGAAAAAAAGGCUUAAUAAGAGAGAUGUUGCAACUAUACCAUCAUCCGGAUCUUUGCCCAUUGAAAAGGAUAGGCAGCCAUCACCUAGAUCUUUGCCUGUUGACAAGGAUAAGCAGCCAUUACUUGGACCUUUGGCCAUUGACAAGGAUAAGCAGCCAUCACCUGGAUCUUUGCCCCUUGACAAUAAUAAGCAGCCAUCAUCUGGAUCUUUGGCCGUUGACAAGAAUAAGCAUCCAUCACUAUCCAAAAAAGUGGUAAGGUCUCCAGUCCUUAACAAUGUCGUAGUUUCAUUCUUAGCAAGAAGAGAAAAAAAAACUAAGUCACUAGAGAGCUCUCCAACGUCACAGCCUUCGUUGCUAGCUCUGUCACCCAAAGUAGCAAACAUUGGUUCACGCAGACCACGAAAAUUAAAAUCAAAAAUUUGGUAA
rnacentral:rRNA from 1 species